rnacentral:miRNA from 1 species
UAGGGGGCAGGAGCCGGAGCCCUCU